rnacentral:rRNA from 1 species
GACGAACGCUGGCGGCGUGCUUAACACAUGCAAGUCGAACGGUGAAGGGGUCUGCUUUUGUGGGCCCUGGAUGAGUGGCGAACGGGUGAGUAACACGUGAGUAACCUGCCCCCUUCUUCUGGAUAACCGCAUGAAAGUGUGGCUAAUACGGGAUAUUCUGGGUCUGUCGCAUGAUGGGUCUGGGAAAGAUUGCGCCUUUGGGUGUUUUUGGUGGGGGAUGGGCUCGCGGCCUAUCAGCUUGUUGGUGGGGUGAUGGCCUACCAAGGCGGUGACGGGUAGCCGGCCUGAGAGGGUGGACGGUCACACUGGGACUGAGACACGGCCCAGACUCCUACGGGAGGCAGCAGUGGGGAAUAUUGCACAUUGGGCGCAAGCCUGAUGCAGCGACGCCGCGUGAGGGAUGGAGGCCUUCGGGUUGUAAACCUCUUUCGCCAGUGAAGCAGGCCUGCUCCUUGUGGGUGGGUUGACGGUAGCUGGAUAAGAAGCGCCGGCUAACUACGUG